AUGAAUCAAAAUCUUAAGAUUGUGUUCUGGAAUGUGCGCAGCCUUAAUUGCCCGGCCAGACGCAUCGCCGUUCUUUCCAUGAUCGCCUCGGUCUCCCCGAGUGUUGUUUGUCUCCAGGAGUCCAAGCUUGCUGUUGUUUCCCCUGCUGUGGUUGCCGAGACGUGUGGGACAGCUUUUCAGGACUUCUUCGUCCUCCCCGCUGAUGGGACACACGGUGGCAUCAUUCUGGCUUGGAGACAUUGGCCUCUACCACGUCACCGCCCUCGCCACGGUGCCCGGGCGCGAGGGGCAUUGGUCGCUGACUGA
rnacentral:rRNA from 1 species